UGUUGGUUAUGUGUGCCCAAGCAUUGAGGCAGUCAAAGUAGGCAAAUACGCUUUGAUAAUGCUGGGAUGUGAUGGGGAGCGAAAUUUAGUAGCGAAGUAGCUGAUUUCACACUGUCAAGAAAAGUCUCUAUCGAGGUUAAAGGUACCCGUACCGCAAACCGACACAGGUGGGUGAGGAGAGUAUCCUAAGGCCAGCGAGAGAACUGUUGUUAAGGAACUCGGCAAAAUGACCCCGUAACUUAGGGAUAAGGGGUGCCACCAUCAGGUGGCCGCAGAGAAUAGGCCCAAGCGACUGUUUACCAAAAACAUAGGUUUCUGCUAAGUCGCAAGACGAUGUAUAGGAGCUGACGCCUGCCCGGUGCUGGAAGGUUAAGGGGAUCUGUUAGAGCAAUCGAAGCAGUGAACUUAAGCCCCAGUAAACGGCGGCCGUAACUAUAACGGUCCUAAGGUAGCGAAAUUCCUUGUCGGGUAAGUUCCGACCCGCACGAAAGGCGUAACGAUUUGGGCACUGUCUCAACAACAGACUCGGUGAAAUUGUAAUUCCGGUGAAGAUGCCGGAUACCUGCGACAGGACGGAAAGACCCCAUGGAGCUUUACUGUAGCUUGACAUUGGGUCUUGGUACUACAUGUACAGGAUAGGUGGGAGGCUUUGAAACCAGGACGCCAGUUUUGGCGGAGCCAUCCUUGGGAUACCACCCUUGUA
rnacentral:rRNA from 1 species